rnacentral:rRNA from 1 species
GAUGAACGCUAGCUACAGGCUUAACACAUGCAAGUCGAGGGGAAACGACAUCGAAAGCUUGCUUUUGAUGGGCGUCGACCGGCGCACGGGUGAGUAACGCGUAUCCAACCUGCCCAUCACUUGGGGAUAACCUUGCGAAAGUAAGACUAAUACCCAAUGAUAUCUCUAGAAGACAUCUGAAAGAGAUUAAAGAUUUAUCGGUGAUGGAUGGGGAUGCGUCUGAUUAGCUUGUUGGCGGGGUAACGGCCCACCAAGGCAACGAUCAGUAGGGGUCCUGAGAGGAAGGUCCCCCACAUUGGAACUGAGACACGGUCCAAACUCCUACGGGAGGCAGCAGUGAGGAAUAUUGGUCAAUGGGCGAGAGCCUGAACCAGCCAAGUAGCGUGCAGGAAGACGGCCCUAUGGGUUGUAAACUGCCUUUAUAAGGGAAUAAAGUGAGAGUCGUGACUCUUUUUGUAUGUACCUGAUGAAUAAGGACCGGCUAAUUCCGUG